rnacentral:piRNA from 1 species
UUGGAGCAUGAUCAAAUAGAA